UGGGGUGCUAGUGCAUUGUGUUGGAUUGU
rnacentral:piRNA from 1 species